AAUCCACGGUGUGGGCAUUUUUGAAUCAACAUUUUGAAACAUUCCCACGCCUCAUAAAAACCUUCUUCCACCAUCUAUCUAAAGACAACAAUCUCUUGUCUCAGAAA
rfam:Gossypium hirsutum cultivar TM-1 chromosome 4, whole genome shotgun sequence